ensembl:lncRNA LINC01304 long intergenic non-protein coding RNA 1304
CCCACAACUGCCUCACAAGCAUCCCAGAGUCCAGUCAGCAGACAGCAGAAGAGACUGUCAGCAGACCACCUUGGAGGGGAUGCUUGGAGCUGCCUAACGUGUGAUUCAAAGAUGAAUUCCAUGUGUUUGGAGAAGAAGCCCUAGCCUCAACACAAAGGUUGGCCACAUUCCAGCCAAGGUAGCACGGAGUGAAGGCCCGUGGAGGGAGAGCUGGGCUUUUCUGAACUACUUCAGUACACCUUGCUGUGCCUUGGCCUGCCGUGUUUCAUCCCCAUGGCUGUCCUCAGUGAUGUGCAUGGUCACUGCUCCCUUCACCACUGAGAAGACGGGCACAGGACAGUCAGGGGAUGUGUCCAAGGUCCCACAGCAGGAAGGGCUGGAGCCAGAAUGUGGUCUGAGAGGCUGGAUAUACAAAGAGACAAUGGCAUGACCAUCUGUACAAAUGGAACUAUGGCCCACAACCUGCAGCAGCCAGCCCAGGAAGCCAACCCGUCACCUGCAGCAGCCAGGAUGGAUGCUGGCCUGCCCUCAUGUGGGCUCCACCACCCUCCUGCCUGCUGUGGGAAAUCAGGAGGGUGAAGGUGAAGCUGGACUUGGCCCAGAGGUGCCCACAGGGACGCCCAGAGCUGCACAAGCUCCCUCCAUCUUGCCUCUGGGACCAGCUCUGCAUUGCUCCAAAGCCCUCAUCAGUGUCUGCUUUCUGUUGCAAUAACUGAAUACCUGAGAUUGGACAAUUUAUAAAGAAAAAAAUUAUAUCUGACAA